GACGAACGCUGGCGGUGUGCUUAACACAUGCAAGUCGAACGGCAACGCCCUGAUAUCGUGCUGUGCUCGAGUGGCGAACGCGUGCGUAACACGAGAGUAACCUGCCCUAGUCUUUCGGAUGACUUCAGGUAACUGGGGCUACUACAGGACAGGAUCCCCUCCAGCAUGGAGGGGGUUGGAAAGUCUCGGCGGGUGGGGAUGGACUCGCGGCUUAUCAGCUUGUUGGUGGGGUAGUGGCUUACCAAGGCAUUGACGGGUAGCCGGCCUGUGAGGGUGACCGGCCACAUGGGGACUGAGAUACGGCCCAGACUCCUACGGGAGGCAGCAGUGGGGAAUAUUGCACAAUGGGCGGAAGCCUGAUGCAGCAACGCCGCGUGCGGGAUGACGGCCUUCGGGUUGUAAACCGCUUUCGCCUGUGACGAAGCGUGAGUGACGGUAAUGGGUAAAGAAGCACCGGCUAACUACGUG
rnacentral:rRNA from 1 species